rnacentral:rRNA from 1 species
UACGUAGGGUCCGAGCGUUGUCCGGAAUUACUGGGCGUAAAGAGCUCGUAGGUGGUUUGUCGCGUUGUUCGUGAAAACUCACAGCUUAACUGUGGGCGUGCGGGCGAGUACGGGCAGACUUGAGUACUGCAGGGGAGACUGGAAUUCCUGGUGUAGCGGUGGAAUGCGCAGAUAUCAGGAGGAACACCGGUGGCGAAGGCGGGUCUCUGGGCAGUAACUGACGCUGAGGAGCGAAAGCGUGGGGAGCGAACAGG